rnacentral:rRNA from 1 species
UGGGGAAUAUUGCACAAUGGGCGCAAGCCUGAUGCAGCCAUGCCGCGUGUGUGAAGAAGGCCUUCGGGUUGUAAGGCACUUUCAGCGGGGAGGAAGGCGUUAAGGUUAAUAACCUUGGCGAUUGACGUUACCCGCAGAAGAAGCACCGGCUAACUCCGUGCCAGCAGCCGCGGUAAUACGGAGGGUGCAAGCGUUAAUCGGAAUUACUGGGCGUAAAGCGCACGCAGGCGGUCUGUCAAGUCGGAUGUGAAAUCCCCGGGCUCAACCUGGGAACUGCAUUCGAAACUGGCAGGCUAGAGUCUUGUAGAGGGGGGUAGAAUUCCAGGUGUAGCGGUGAAAUGCGUAGAGAUCUGGAGGAAUACCGGUGGCGAAGGCGGCCCCCUGGACAAAGACUGACGCUCAGGUGCGAAAGCGUGGGGAGCAAACAGG